CAGCGAGGCCACACCGCCAACCCGCGCGGAGCUGGGCAGCCUUUCAGCUCUUGGGGCACUUGACGGAGCUGGUGAACUUUUAAACUUUUAUCCCUUCCCGAAGACAAACUUCGGAACGCCUCGCUCUGGGAAGGUGUAGAGCGGGCAGCGGCGCUAGCUCACGGGCUGAGGUGCGGUGUUCUGCCGGAGGUGCGGAAAAUUUGACCUGAAUCUACGAACCAAUGAAGAAAAAUGAAAGGACAGAACAUACCAGCUGUCAUGAUCUGUGUAUUUCACAUCAGUGCUACACUUUGGGGUUUUACAGAACAGGAAGAAGUAACAGGACUUUUUUCCAAGGAUUGCAUCCUCCCUUGUCGUUUCCCACCUGGGCAUGAUGAAGUAAUUCACUGGAGCAAAGAGAACAAAAAUGUGCACAGUUACUACCAGCAGAAGGAUCAGCUGGGAGCACAAGAUCCACAUUACAGACUCAGAACACACCUUUUCCAUGAGAACAUCCCUAGUGGAAAUGCCUCCUUGAAACUUAGUAACCUGACCAUGACUGACGAGGGCUCUUAUACCUGCUACGUGGGAACAGCCCAACAUCAAACAGAAGUGGAAGUGCAACUACGAGUUAAAGCUCCUUCUUCUUAUGCACUGGAAUACCAAAAGACAAACACAGAAAGGAGACUGAAGUGCUAUGCUUUUCUCACUUAUCCAGCACCAACUAUAUCUUGGGUACAGGGCAGUACAUACAUCCAGGAGACAGAUCGGGAGGAAACUAGGAAUGGAGUUCUCUAUUCUCUUAGAAGUGACAAGGACAUUAUAAAUGUGACAGAUACUUACCAAUGUCAUAUUCAUUUGGAUCAUGAAGUGUGGGCUGCUGAAUGGAAGAUGCAAGACCACCUGCCCAAGGUGGAAGGAGAGAGCACCGUAAUUGCUUGUGAACACGGCCUUGACACUGCAAGCACUGAUGGUUUCAGUGUUGUCUGGACAUUGCACAGAAAUGCAGUGACCUCAGUCCUGGCCUCCUUCAAUGGCACAUCUCACUCUCACCAGCCCCGAGUCCAGCUUAACGAAAGUGACUUUUCGCUGAGGCUGGAUCAUCUUACUGCAGGCGACAGUGGAGAAUAUCUGUGUAAUAUUUCAACGCCUCUCUACACAAAACUUGCUGUGACAACUUUGCAUGUCGAAAAUUCAGAUAACACUUGGAAAAUUGUGCUAGGAGUGCUUUGUGCUGUGGUGGCAGUGGUGACAAUAGCAGCGGUACUUUGCUAUCUCAAGAAAAGGGAAGACAAUCCCAAUGUGAACAGGCUGUCUGGACAAGGGGCACCAGGAGUAAAGUCCAAAGAAAGAAAAAAAAGAAGAGAGGAAUCAUACGGAGACCUUGACAUACAGGAAGAAAAUAUCUCUCUGCACACAGAUACUCCUGAGACUGGUGACGAAAAGAACAAAGAGUGCCACCACCUUCCCCUUUGAGUUACUGUAAGAGCCACAUGGAAAUGUGAUUUUCUGAGCAACAAUAGCAGACAAAUGGGGAGGAAAAAAAGUCAAUGGACACUUAUAUGUGAAGAAUCAUGGAGCAAGGCAUCUCACCCCCCGCAUGAGCUUAUCUGUUGCUUUUUAACUGUCCAGGUCAAGUGAGGUGAAAAUUGUUUGAAGUUAUCCCUAACUGGUGACAUGAGGAGAAAGACAUCAAGACUGAGGAUAAUUUAACAACUUUGGAGAAACAACCCAAACUUUUAACAUGUAAGAUCUGAGAUUUUGGCUGUCUUCCUGGACUUCUUUUCAGAGGACUGCAAAGAACCCUUGAAAACCUCACAAAGACCAGUAUACAGAACAGAUGAAACAUAAGGAAAACUUCACUGGGCACAGGAAGUGUGUCACUGCAGGGCGAAAACCACCGUCUUACAGGAAACACAGAAGUUACAACUAACAGUAAAUGAAAAACAUGUCUUUGAAAAUACACAGAACUAUGGUAUCUGAUAAGAAUGCAGAAAUUAAAUAAUACUGCUCUGGCCAGAAAGGUAGCAAGAAGUCAGAGGAUAUGUGGUAUUUAGAGGAUAUGUGAACAUCUUCUAGGGUGCAGUGCUCAAGGUCAGGCUGAGGAACAUGGGAUUCACACAGGCCCAACUCCUUUUUCCCUCCAGUAUUUCUAGAUGCACAUAUCCUUGUUCCUGAAACAAUAGGUACCUAGGCAGCCUGGCACAUCCUGGGUUCCGAGCUGGCACAUCCAUUUUGGCUCAUGAGAUGGUAUCACUGUAUGCUGAUAAAUGUGAGUGUAGGUUUGUUUUAAAAGCCAGUCCAAGGCAAGGUGUCCCCACCAAGGUUAUAAGAAUACUGAGGAUAGAAAUGUCAAAAGACACAAAGCUACUGCUCUACUCAGCAAUCCCAAUCCUGCCACCUUCAGAGCAGAUGCCAUGGCAGAACACAUCUCACUGAUUCAGUACAGAGGUGCCCUGAUAAAUUCCUGGGACACACUCUAUCUGGGCAGAACAUGCACAUACCAUUCUCACUCUGGAGU